rnacentral:lncRNA from 1 species
CGCUUUAUAUAUCUUGACAUACAUACAUAUAUAUAUAUAGGCUCAUGAUCAAAUAGAAACCACUCUUAAAAUAAAAACUAGAAACCAAUACAAGUUAGUGAUAUUCUCAAUAUAAUUUAGUGAUAUUCUCUUUAGGAUUUAGUGAUCUGUGUUGCAUGAAUUAGUGAAAACUUGCAGAAACUGCCCAGAAUCUCCAGAUCUGCUCCAGGAACUGCUCAGAAUCUCCAGAUCUGUUCCAGUUGCCGAUUCAGGUGGUGGUUGCAGUGGUGGAGAUAGUGAGAGUGGAGAUGGAGGUGGUGGACAUGGAAGAAGCCUUUAGCUCUAUCCGGCCGUUUUUGGCAAAGAUCUGGAAUUGAAAUCGGCAUUAAGCUGGGUAGACGGUAUUGGAGGUGAGGAAGACCGAGGUGGAGGUGAGGACAAAGGUGCAGGUGGAGGUGGAACGGAAGGGGCGGUGGAGGGGGUUGGAUUUGGUGGUGAUAUAAAUGGCGGGAUGAAGCUGCCGGAAGUGGGGUGGAGGCAGAUGUUGGGUUGGUGGGUUGGAGAAGAAGAAGGGGAAAGUGGGGUUGUUUGAGAAUUUAGUGAUAUUCUCUUUGAAAUUUAGUGAUAGUUUCUAGUUUCUAGAGUAAGGUGGUUUCUAUUGGAGUAAGACUCUAUAUAUAUAUAGGCUUAUGAUCAAAUAGAAACCACCCUUAAGAUAAAAACUAGAAACCAAUUCAGUUUAGUGAUAUUCUCAGUACAAUUUAGUGAUAUUCUUUUACGGAUUUGAAAUUAAAAUCCGCAUUAAGAUGGGCAAAUGGUAUUGGAGGUGAGGAAGAUCGAGGUGGAGGUGAGG